rnacentral:rRNA from 1 species
AGUGAACGCUGGCGGCGUGCUUAACACAUGCAAGUCGAACGAGAACGGAAUAUAGCUUGCUAUAUUUGUCAGCUAAGUGGCGCACGGGUGAGUAAUGUAUAGAUAACCUGCCCUUAAGAAAGGAAUAACAGUUGGAAACGACUGCUAAUGCCCUAUAUGCCUUUAAUACAUAAGUAUGCAAGGGAAACGCUUUAGUGCUUAAGGAUGGGUCUGUAUGGUAUCAGCUUGUUGGUGAGGUAAUGGCUCACCAAGGCUAUGACGCCUAACUGGUUUGAGAGGAUGAUCAGUCACAAUGGAACUGAGACACGGUCCAGACUCCUACGGGAGGCAGCAGUGGGGAAUAUUGCACAAUGGACGAAAGUCUGAUGCAGCAACGCCGCGUGGAGGAUGACACAUUUCGGUGCGUAAACUCCUUUUAUAUAGGAAGAUAAUGACGGUACUAUAUGAAUAAGCACCGACUAACUCCGUGCCAGCAGCCGCCGUAA